CGAGCGGUAAAUUUGAAGUAACAGAUUUUGAUGUAGACACUAAUGCUAAUACAUAUGUUAUGUACUUUUUGUUCCUGAAAAUUAUCAAUACGUUCGGCUUAUUUUGCAUAAAUUUUAAACGAUGCUACAUACUUUGUGAUGUUUAAUUUAUUACUUUAAUUAUUAGUCUAUUACAAUGAAAGGAUUGGAUCAUGGAGGAGCCUCUGAAAGAUGCGUUUUUUUAACUGUACUCUCUGCUGUCUUUAUCUGAUCUGUACAGAGUAGCUAGUCGGAAAUGGACUUUGAUAGAAUAAUGAAUGAAUGAUGGAAUAAUUCGGAUAAGCCAAUCACUCCUUAAAUUUCUUAUUGCCGGAAUACAGCAGACAAAACACUGUGUUGAAAACAUUCUUCUCGUGAGAUGCUGUUGCAUCCAGCCACUCUUUCGGAAAAAGAUCAAUAGUUGUUUAGUUAUUUUCUGAAGUGCUGUGAUUGCUACAAUCUCAAUUAUUAUUUCAUUUAUGAUUCAACUUACAUCCGAAAAUUGAAAGCGCUAAAAAUGGCACAGAACUGUAAAAAUUAACCAUUGUUUUUGAAUCGACUUUACGUGGAGGACGCACAGACAACCUUGUAAUAUUUUAAGUUAAAAGUAAUAUUUAAGAAUCAUUUAAUACCACUUAAUGGUUCAAAAGGUGCAUAUUUGCCUCUUCAUUCCUCUCAAAAAUGUAUAGAUUUAGUCCGUGGUCUUACCGUGUAAGAUUAUCAGUAGUUAGCUGUUUUUUAAGUCAGAUUGUACCGUUAUUAGGGAGUGGAGACGGAAAUAUGGAGGAUAUUUUGUUGGAAGAAAAGAUCACACCCGGCAUACUUGACAAAAUACCGAUCUACAUUGCAGAGAUCAAUUACGAUAAUGUCACCCUUGCAACUUUUGGUAACAUAAUACCCAAGAAAUAUUAUGAGAAGCAUCCCGAAAGUGUUGAAUGGAUGCCCGACUGUCACCUCUACUACACAAUUAUAUUCACAGACAUUGAUGCGAACCCAAAAUGGCCGCGUCGAGAGCGCCAACUGUGGAUUGUGGGGAACAUUUUGGGCGGAGCGUGGAAUUCGGGUGAGAAUAUUACCGAAUAUGGUAUCUUAGAGCCUGCAGAGAGUUCAGGUAAACAUAGAGUUCUCAUCGUAAUUUAUGAACAAGGCAAUAAGAUUGACUUCAAAGAACCUGUGAUCACCAAACGAGACGAUGAGCGGAGAGACAACUUUUCGACGCUUGAAUUUGUGAGGAAAUACAACAUGGAUCAUCCAAAUGCUGCAAAUUAUUUCUCCAUCAAAUACGAAGGUGAUUGAAAAAUUAAAUCUAUUGGAAACAUAUCUUGGGCCCAUCUGAAUCCUAUAGAAUAAGAGGUCGUGCAUGAAUGACAAUUAGCACCCACGAGCGAUGAAAGGAGGGUAUAAAUCGCAAAUGGCCCAACGUAAUGUGGAGACGGCCGCGGCCCCUCAGUGUUUUCACCGAGUGACAAUGUCGUAUAAAAUGAUGAAUGGAGAAUAUCCGGAACGCAAUUAAUCGAUAUUAUUUACAAAAUAAGCAGUGCAAUGGAUAGAAAAACAGAUGUGGAAAAUUGAAUCUCAAGAGAGAGCGGAUGCACUAACUUUAGAACUUGCAACUGAUAUCAUCUCAGGAACUCAUUAUUAGUAAAUUAUGUUUUCAUUAUAUCACUUUCAUCCUAAGCUCCGUGAAAACAUAUUUUCAUAAUUUGUUUGCCCAAUCAUAUAUUAUCACAAGACUUCAAGAGCCCGUAGAAGUAUCAUUCGAAGAUUUGAGUGAGUCUCUGAGUCCUCAAUUGCUAGAGAGUUCACUUUGGACUCAGUAAAUGAAAAGGAAAGGCACCUUUGGUGAAAAUUUGCUUCACAAAUUACUCGAGUGGAGCUUUGUGCAAUCCUCAAAAAAUUUACGUUCCAGAAUUCCAAAAGUUAAAUGCUGAGUGCCCUUUGCAUAAUGGGAAAAAAUCAAAGGGACAGUAGUUUCUAAUUUGAAAAUAUAUGAUCGGUCCAUUAUGACGUAUGUGCUUAAAAUAGAUUUAACGAUGACCUGAGAGAAUAAAUAAGUACUUUUUCCUCAGUUUUAUUGCCUGCAGAGAACUGACCAUACUCUUAUAACCAAAUCAGC